rnacentral:rRNA from 1 species
GAUCCUGACUCAGGAUGAACGCUAGCUACAGGCUUAACACAUGCAAGUCGAGGGGCAGCGGGAUUGAAGCUUGCUUCAAUCGCCGGCGACCGGCGCACGGGUGAGUAACGCGUAUCCAACCUUCCGUACACUCAGGGAUAGCCUUUCGAAAGAAAGAUUAAUACCUGAUGGUAUCCUAAGCACACAUGUAAUUAAGAUUAAAGAUUCAUCGGUGUACGAUGGGGAUGCGUUCCAUUAGG